UCCUUCAACAUUUCACGGCUAUCAGACUCAGACUCAAACUCAAACUCGGGUUAAGACUCGAUCUUGGUUUGAGAUUCUAACAGAGAAGACUAGUGGUGGCGACAACUUACUUAAGCUGUCGAAGCCGCUCCUAGUCACAAAUUUCAGUGCAACCAUAGCUAUGGUGAUUUUCAGAUCAGAGGGAUCGUCGUUGCAGUUUGCUUUGAAUUCAAAGCCACCACAUGCAAUGUCAUUUGGUAUUCUUUUGGCUUGUAUUUUAUUUGGUUUCAUUUGUAAUAUGAUUAUGAUCUUAUUGCAAAAGGAAUCGCCAAUCGCUGCAAGCAUGGGGGGGCAUGCUGGCGCGUGGUUGUUCGUGAUUGGGUUCUUGACCAUGGUACAAAUGAUUCUAUCUCAUACCCUCUGGUGGAUUGUUUGGCCUGCUGGCGUUUUUAUCUUCCUAUCAUUUCUCUAUGUCCUUACAAAGAAUAGCCAUCAUGUGAAGAAGUUCUGUAAGGUGGAAAAGGGGACAACAUUGAGCGAGUUGGAGGCGAUGAUCAUGCCCGAGGAGGCCCCAAAUGGAGAAAACAUGCAACUGGUGUUCAACUAUAGGAUCCCAUAUUGGCAGUCCAAAUACGAAGUGAAGUAUGAUUUGUUACCAAUCGACAAUGAUAAGACUUUGGCUUUUGUCUUGAAUCAACCGAAAAGCUCAUCAUCAGAAUUUAUUUUGCAAUUUUAUGUGGACUGUAAGGAUAGCACGAUGGGCAACAUAACAUCGUCUGUGCAGUAAACUCAAGAAUAUUUUCCAACUACUCUUUAAUUAUAUGGAUGUGAAGAUUUUGCUGCAAUGAGGACAU